CAUUUUGAACUGCAUGGUUCGAAAUUGAAAGGCGGCUUCGGACUGUCACUUAUGGAUGGACCCGCGUCGCAUUAGCUAGUUGGUGAGGUAACGGCUCACCAAGGCAUACGAUGCGUAGCCGACCUGAGAGGGUGAUCGGCCACACUGGGACUGAGACACGGCCCAGACUCCUACGGGAGGCAGCAGUAGGGAAUCUUCCGCAAUGGACGAAAGUCUGACGGAGCAACGCCGCGUGAGUGAUGAAGGCUUUCGGGUCGUAAAACUCUGUUGUUAGGGAAGAACAAGUGCUAGUUGAAUAAGCUGGCACCUUGACGGUACCUAACCAGAAAGCCACGGCUAACUACGUGCCAGCAGCCGCGGUAAUACGUAGGUGGCAAGCGUUAUCCGGAACCUUAUUGGGCGUAAAGCGCGCGCAGGUGGUUUCUUAAGUCUGAUGUGAAAGCCCACGGCUCAACCGUGGAGGGUCAUUGGAAACUGGGAGACUUGAGUGCAGAAGAGGAAAGUGGAAUUCCAUGUGUAGCGGUGAAAUGCGUAGAGAUAUGGAGGAACACCAGUGGCGAAAGCGACUUUCUGGUCUGUAACUGACACU
rnacentral:rRNA from 1 species